AUUGAACGCUGGCGGCAGGCCUAACACAUGCAAGUCGAGCGGGGUUUUCGGACCUAGCGGCGGACGGGAGAGUAAUGCGCAGGAAGCUGCCCGAUAGAGGGGGAUACCAGUUGGAAACGACUGUUAAUACCGCAUAAUGUCUACGGACCAAAGUGUGGGACCUUCGGGCCACAUGCUAUCGGAUGCGCCUACGUGGGAUU
rnacentral:rRNA from 1 species